rnacentral:rRNA from 1 species
AACGAACGCUGGCGGCAUGCCUAACACAUGCAAGUCGAACGAGACCUUCGGGUCUAGUGGCGCACGGGUGCGUAAUGCGUGGGAACCUGCCCUUAGGUUCGGAAUAACUCCCCGAAAGGGGUGCUAAUACCGGAUAAUGUCUUCGGACCAAAGAUUUAUCGCCUUUGGAUGGGCCCGCGUUGGAUUAGCUAGUUGGUAGGGUAAAAGCCUACCAAGGCGACGAUCCAUAGCUGGUCUGAGAGGAUGAUCAGCCACACUGGGACUGAGACACGGCCCAGACUCCUACGGGAGGCAGCAGUAGGGAAUAUUGGACAAUGGGCGAAAGCCUGAUCCAGCAAUGCCGCGUGAGUGAUGCAGGCCUUAGGGUUGUAAAGCUCUUUUACCCGGGAUGAUAAUGACAGUACCGGGAGAAUAAGCUCCGGCUAACUCCGUG